rnacentral:rRNA from 1 species
AUUGAACGCUGGCGGCAGGCCUAACACAUGCAAGUCGAACGAGUGGCGGACGGGUGAGUAAUGUCUGGGAAACUGCCUGAUGGAGGGGGAUAACUACUGGAAACGGUAGCUAAUCACGCAUACCAUACCCUAUGCCCAGAUGGGCUUAGAUAGUUGGAGGGGUAACGGCUCACCAAGGCGACGAUCCCUAGCUGGUCUGAGAGGAUGACCAGCCACACUGGAACUGAGACACGGUCCAGACUCCUACGGGAGGCAGCAGUGGGGAAUAUUGCACAAUGGGCGCAAGCCUGAUGCAGCCAUGCCGCGUGUAUGAAGAAGGCCUUCGGGUUGUAAAGUACUUUCAGCGGGGAGGCGUUACCCGAAGAUGAAGCACCGGCUAACUCCGUGCCAGCAGCCGCGGUAAUAC